rnacentral:rRNA from 1 species
UACGUAGGGGGCAAGCGUUGUCCGGAAUCAUUGGGCGUAAAGAGCGCGUAGGCGGCCAGAUAAGUCCGGUGUGAAAGUCACAGGCUCAACCUGUGAAUGCCGCUGGAAACUGUCUGGCUAGAGUCCGGUAGGGGCGAGUGGAAUUCCUGGUGUAGCGGUGAAAUGCGCAGAUAUGAGGAGGAACACCAAUGGCGAAGGCAGCUCGCUGGAACGGUACUGACGCUGAGGCGCGAAAGCGUGGGGAGCGAACAGG